GGACGUGAUGUUAUCUCGAGUAGUGGUAUUUGCUGACGACGAAUGAGGCCAGAGUCUGUUUCUGAUC
rnacentral:snoRNA from 1 species